AUACGGAGGAUCCGAGCGUUAUCCGGAAUCAUUGGGUUUAAAGGGUCCGUAGGCGGGCCGUUAAGUCAGGGGUGAAAGUCUGCGGCUCAACCGUAGAAUUGCCCUUGAUACUGAUGGCCUUGAGUUAUGGUGAAGCAGCCAGAAUAUGUGGUGUAGCGGUGAAAUGCAUAGAUAUCACAUGGAAUACCGAUUGCGAAGGCAGGCUGCUAACCAUAUACUGACGCUGAUGGACGAAAGCGUGGGUAGCGAACAGGAUUAGAUACCCUGGUAGUCCACGCCGUAAACGAUGGAUACUAGCUGUCCGGCGGCAACGCUGGGCGGCCCAGCGAAAGUGAUAAGUAUCCCACCUGGGGAGUACGUCCGCAAGGAUGAA
rnacentral:rRNA from 1 species